rnacentral:rRNA from 1 species
GCACAGGUUGACCUCGGAUGCAGGUAGGGAUUCUACCCGCUGAACUUAAGCAUAUCAUAGGGGGGAAGGAAGCUGAACUUAAGCAUAUCAAUAAGCCGGA